AGUGAACGCUGGCGGUAGGCCUAACACAUGCAAGUCGAACGGCAGCACAGUAAGAGCUUGCUCUUACGGGUGGCGAGUGGCGGACGGGUGAGGUAUACAUCGUAAUCUACUUUUUCGUGGGGGAUAACGUAGGGAAACUUACGCUAAUACCGCAUACGACCUACGGGUGAAAGCAUGGGAUCUUCGGACCUUGCGCGAUUGAAUGAGCCGAUGUCGGAUUAGCUAGUUGGCGGGGUAAAGGCCCACCAAGGCGACGAUCCGUAGCUGGUCUGAGAGGAUGAUCAGCCACACUGGAACUGAGACACGGUCCAGACUCCUACGGGAGGCAGCAGUGGGGAAUAUUGGACAAUGGGCGCAAGCCUGAUCCAGCCAUACCGCGUGGGUGAAGAAGGCCUUCGGGUUGUAAAGCCCUUUUGUUGGGAAAGAAAAGCAGCAGGUUAAUACCCCGCUGUUCUGACGGUACCCAAAGAAUAAGCACCGGCUAACUUCGUG
rnacentral:rRNA from 1 species